rnacentral:rRNA from 1 species
GGGUUGUGAGGUUAAGCGACUAAGCGUACACGGUGGAUGCCCUGGCAGUCAGAGGCGAUGAAGGACGUGCUAAUCUGCGAUAAGCGUCGGUAAGGUGAUAUGAACCGUUAUAACCGGCGAUUUCCGAAUGGGGAAACCCAGUGUGAUUCGUCACACUAUCAUUAACUGAAUCCAUAGGUUAAUGAGGCGAACCGGGGGAACUGAAACAUCUAAGUACCCCGAGGAAAAGAAAUCAACCGAGAUUCCCCCAGUAGCGGCGAGCGAACGGGGAGGAGCCCAGAGCCUGAAUCAGUGUGUGUGUUAGUGGAAGCGUCUGGAAAGGCGUGCGAUACAGGGUGACAGCCCCGUACACAAAAAUGCACAUAUUGUGAGCUCGAUGAGUAGGGCGGGACACGUGGUAUCCUGUCUGAAUAUGGGGGGACCAUCCUCCAAGGCUAAAUACUCCUGACUGACCGAUAGUGAACCAGUACCGUGAGGGAAAGGCGAAAAGAACCCCGGCGAGGGGAGUGAAAAAGAACCUGAAACCGUGUACGUACAAGCAGUGGGAGCCUCUUAAUGGGGUGACUGCGUACCUUUUGUAUAAUGGGUCAGCGACUUAUAUUCUGUAGCAAGGUUAACCGAAUAGGGGAGCCGAAGGGAAACCGAGUCUUAACUGGGCGUUAAGUUGCAGGGUAUAGACCCGAAACCCGGUGAUCUAGCCAUGGGCAGGUUGAAGGUUGGGUAACACUAACUGGAGGACCGAACCGACUAAUGUUGAAAAAUUAGCGGAUGACUUGUGGCUGGGGGUGAAAGGCCAAUCAAACCGGGAGAUAGCUGGUUCUCCCCGAAAGCUAUUUAGGUAGCGCCUCGUGAAUUCAUCUCCGGGGGUAGAGCACUGUUUCGGCAAGGGGGUCAUCCCGACUUACCAACCCGAUGCAAACUGCGAAUACCGGAGAAUGUUAUCACGGGAGACACACGGCGGGUGCUAACGUCCGUCGUGAAGAGGGAAACAACCCAGACCGCCAGCUAAGGUCCCAAAGUCAUGGUUAAGUGGGAAACGAUGUGGGAAGGCCCAGACAGCCAGGAUGUUGGCUUAGAAGCAGCCAUCAUUUAAAGAAAGCGUAAUAGCUCACUGGUCGAGUCGGCCUGCGCGGAAGAUGUAACGGGGCUAAACCAUGCACCGAAGCUGCGGCAGCGACGCUUAUGCGUUGUUGGGUAGGGGAGCGUUCUGUAAGCCUGUGAAGGUGUGCUGUGAGGCAUGCUGGAGGUAUCAGAAGUGCGAAUGCUGACAUAAGUAACGAUAAAGCGGGUGAAAAGCCCGCUCGCCGGAAGACCAAGGGUUCCUGUCCAACGUUAAUCGGGGCAGGGUGAGUCGACCCCUAAGGCGAGGCCGAAAGGCGUAGUCGAUGGGAAACAGGUUAAUAUUCCUGUACUUGGUGUUACUGCGAAGGGGGGACGGAGAAGGCUAUGUUGGCCGGGCGACGGUUGUCCCGGUUUAAGCGUGUAGGCUGGUUUUCCAGGCAAAUCCGGAAAACCAAGGCUGAGGCGUGAUGACGAGGCACUACGGUGCUGAAGCGACAAAUGCCCUGCUUCCAGGAAAAGCCUCUAAGCAUCAGGUAACAUCAAAUCGUACCCCAAACCGACACAGGUGGUCAGGUAGAGAAUACCAAGGCGCUUGAGAGAACUCGGGUGAAGGAACUAGGCAAAAUGGUGCCGUAACUUCGGGAGAAGGCACGCUGAUAUGUAGGUGAAGCGACUUGCUCGUGGAGCUGAAAUCAGUCGAAGAUACCAGCUGGCUGCAACUGUUUAUUAAAAACACAGCACUGUGCAAACACGAAAGUGGACGUAUACGGUGUGACGCCUGCCCGGUGCCGGAAGGUUAAUUGAUGGGGUUAGCGGUAACGCGAAGCUCUUGAUCGAAGCCCCGGUAAACGGCGGCCGUAACUAUAACGGUCCUAAGGUAGCGAAAUUCCUUGUCGGGUAAGUUCCGACCUGCACGAAUGGCGUAAUGAUGGCCAGGCUGUCUCCACCCGAGACUCAGUGAAAUUGAACUCGCUGUGAAGAUGCAGUGUACCCGCGGCAAGACGGAAAGACCCCGUGAACCUUUACUAUAGCUUGACACUGAACAUUGAGCCUUGAUGUGUAGGAUAGGUGGGAGGCUUUGAAGUGUGGACGCCAGUCUGCAUGGAGCCGACCUUGAAAUACCACCCUUUAAUGUUUGAUGUUCUAACGUUGGCCCGUAAUCCGGGUUGCGGACAGUGUCUGGUGGGUAGUUUGACUGGGGCGGUCUCCUCCUAAAGAGUAACGGAGGAGCACGAAGGUUGGCUAAUCCUGGUCGGACAUCAGGAGGUUAGUGCAAUGGCAUAAGCCAGCUUGACUGCGAGCGUGACGGCGCGAGCAGGUGCGAAAGCAGGUCAUAGUGAUCCGGUGGUUCUGAAUGGAAGGGCCAUCGCUCAACGGAUAAAAGGUACUCCGGGGAUAACAGGCUGAUACCGCCCAAGAGUUCAUAUCGACGGCGGUGUUUGGCACCUCGAUGUCGGCUCAUCACAUCCUGGGGCUGAAGUAGGUCCCAAGGGUAUGGCUGUUCGCCAUUUAAAGUGGUACGCGAGCUGGGUUUAGAACGUCGUGAGACAGUUCGGUCCCUAUCUGCCGUGGGCGCUGGAGAACUGAGGGGGGCUGCUCCUAGUACGAGAGGACCGGAGUGGACGCAUCACUGGUGUUCGGGUUGUCAUGCCAAUGGCACUGCCCGGUAGCUAAAUGCGGAAGAGAUAAGUGCUGAAAGCAUCUAAGCACGAAACUUGCCCCGAGAUGAGUUCUCCCUGACUCCUUGAGGGUCCUGAAGGAACGUUGAAGACGACGACGUUGAUAGGCCGGGUGUGUAAGCGCAGCGAUGCGUUGAGCUAACCGG